rnacentral:rRNA from 1 species
ACGGUAACGGACCGCUGGGAUAUACCUAUACGGGAUAGACCUAUAGGUAGCCGACGAGUAGGCGGACGGGUAGAGUAACACGUAGGAAUACUAGCCCAACAGUGGGGGACAACCCGGAGAAAUACCGGGCUAAUACCGCAUACGCCCUACGGGGGAAAGCGGGGGAUCUUCGGACCUUGCGCUGUUGGAGGAGCCUGCGUCGGAUUAGCUUGUUGGUGAGGUAAAGGCUCACCAAGGCUACGAUCCGUAGCUGGUCUGAGAGGAUGAUCAGCCACACUGGGACUGAGACACGGCCCAGACUCCUACGGGAGGCAGCAGUGAGGAAUUGUUCGCAAUGGGCGCAAGCCUGACGACGCAACGCCGCGUGGAGGACGAAGAUCUUCGGGUUGUAAACUCCUGUCGUGCGGGAAAGAACGGCGCGCCGGUUAAUACCCGGCGCGGGUGACGGUACCGCAAGAGGAAGCCCCGGCUAACUCCGUGCCAGCAGCCGCGUUAGUA